AUAUUGCAAUUUAGACCAGUUCAAUGAAAGGAAGGUUUUGACACAGCUAUUAUUAAAAUAGCUUGGAAGGUUCUCUUAUCACAAAGUUCAAACUGCAGACUCCAGUAAUUUGUAAGUUUGAGAAUGCAGUACGUCAUAAUCUUAGCCUGCACAAGUGUUUUGUUCGAGUAGAAAAUGUUAAAGGAGCAGUAUGGACUGUGGAUGAAGUAGAAUACCAGAAGCGAAGGUCACAAAAGAUAACAGGAAGUCCAACCUUAGUAAAAAAUAUACCUACCAGUUUAGGCUAUGGAGCAGCUCUUAAUGCCAGUUUGCAGGCUGCCUUGGCAGAGAGCAGUUUACCUUUGCUAAGUAAUCCUGGACUGAUCAAUAAUGCAUCCAGUGGCCUACUGCAGGCCGUCCACGAAGACCUCAAUGGUUCUCUGGAUCACAUUGACAGCAAUGGAAACAGUAGUCCGGGCUGCUCGCCUCAGCCGCACAUACAUUCAAUCCAUGUCAAGGAAGAGCCAGUGAUUGCAGAGGAUGAAGACUGCCCAAUGUCCUUAGUGACAACAGCUAAUCACAGUCCAGAAUUAGAAGACGACAGAGAGAUUGAAGAAGAGCCUUUAUCUGAAGAUCUGGAAUGAGAACUGACUUGUGAAACCUCAGCGUGAAGGGACAUAUCACUGACCUUCAUAACCACUCCACAACCAUGAAUAUUUGACAAAUUUUUACUGUGACUAUUUAUUAAGCAUGGAUAAAGGAGACAGCCCUAAAGGAACUUACUAAGCCAGCCCUUUGGGAUUCAGUACCAACAGGCAAAUUGCUUGUUUUCUUCUUCUUCUUUUUUUUUUUUUUUUUUAGAAAAAAAGACAAAAACUGAUUUUCUUGAAAAAAAAAAAAAAAUGAACUGUUCUUUCUAUAAUGGCUUUGCCCAUUUAAAAAAUGUGGCUCUUAAGGGUUCAUGAAAUGACUGAAUAUGAGGAUACAUGUCCUGUAGAAAGCAAAUGCGCCUCAUAUACUGCCAAAAAUAGUGUUAGUUUCAUUAAUGUGAAUUUUCCAGCAUUCAGUAGUUGUAAUGUUAGAAACAAUUGCUGGUCAAGUUCAACUUGUUGCUAUUGUUUUUAAUUUGCACAGGAGUAGUAUCAGAAAUUAGUGUCACUGCUUGUAUCUAGCUGAAUUUUAAACAACAGAACAUUAGUUUUUUAUGUUGGUGCCACCAACUGUAAAUGACAUAAGUUAGUUAUUACAAAACACAGUAAUUAGACUGUUGCAACCAUCUAAAACCUUAGACUUCCAGUCUGUGCUGUUAGUGUUAAGAUGUAAAGUGCAAUCCUAAGCUAACAUUAUCUGUGCAAGCACCAUAGAAACAUUUGCAUAUCUGCAUAGAUCUUACAACUGUACUCUUUACCUCCUUGUGAUAAAGCUUUGUCUACCUGCAAACACAGUCAAAGGCUACAGCUGCAAACCAAAGCCAACUCUAACCAUGGCCAAGAGCUCAAGGACAGAAGCAGCCACAUGCUUUGGUCAGCCUUCUGUAACUUCAAUUAGUACAAAGGAACCUUUUCCAUGAACUACCUGCUGUUUUCUGAUGACCUCUGGGAUCUUUUCAUUUAGCCCUAAACAAAGAAACAAAUAUGACAAAAACCACAACUAAAAAAUGUUAAUUCAGUCACAGAGUAAUCUUCUGAGGCCAAAAGUCCAUCUAAAUGCAAUGAAGAUUUGCUUUCAUUAAAGACAGAGGUGAGGACAAAAUCUGCAGUGGAAGUUAUGAUAUGCUAGAAAGCAACAAAUGUGGAUCACUGACCAAAACGAUUAUGUACUUGAUGCAAAUGCAGAUUGCAUAUUGUUAUAUAUAUAGUACUUUGUGUUUUUGUUUUCCCUCAUUCAAUCAGUUAUUUUCAGUGGUGAAUACAUGUUGUUAGAAGAUGUCUUGUAUGGUCUUAAUCUUUGUUGUGUACUAUUUUUUUAUAGUCUUAAGUUAUAAUGAAAAAACAAAAAGUAGGAACCAAACAUAAAAGGUCUAGUAAAGCCAAAAAUUAAUUUCAUAUUGAUUUUAAAGUGAUCUAGCUGAGUUUUUACACUGAAAGCAAAGAUUAUAGCAAUUGUAGUCCAUGGUAUUUAUUUUCAGUCAAACCAAAGUUACAUAUAAUUCUGCCUCUGCUUAUACGGGAUAUUAACACUAACAAUACACUCCCUUCAAAGACUUGCACAGGCCAAAUUGUUGGAAUGCUGGUUUUCUUGACAACUCCAAACCCCAAAACUAUGGUAAUGAGUUAUGAUGUAGUUGAAAAUAGCAUAGUCAGAUGUUUGCUUAAAACCUAGAAACUUAACGUGUUGCUUUUCAUGUGCUGUGCCAAGUCUUGAUAAUACUUUUUCCCCCAACCAAGGGACCUCAUAACCUGAUUAUGGUUAUUGCUUUACAAACAGUUUUGACAGAAGGUGGCUGCUAGAGCUUAACAUACGUUCCCGUUCCAUGUGAUGGAACCGGUUCUUGCAAACUAAGCUCAUCAUUGAUUCUUUGCUGAAGUCAGCAAAUAGAGUUAGAGAGAUACCCAGUCAUCUAUCACACCAAAUAAAAGGACAUAACGGCUUUCAAAAGGGUUUUCCCACUUACCCAAAAGGCUUUCUGAA
rnacentral:sRNA from 1 species